rnacentral:rRNA from 1 species
CGGAACGGGUGAGUAACGCGUGAGGAACCUGCCUCAAAGAGGGGGGAAACAGUUGGAAACGACUGCUAAUACCGCAUAAGCCCACAGGUCGGCAUCGACCAGAGGGAAAAAGAGCAAUCCGCUUUGAGAUGGCCUCGCGUCCGAUUAGCUAGUUGGUGAGGUAAUAGCCCACCAAGGCGACGAUCGGUAGCCGGACUGAGAGGUUGAACGGCCACAUUGGGACUGAGACACGGCCCAG